rnacentral:rRNA from 1 species
CGGUCUAUCAUGCAGUCGAGCGAUGAAGAGGAGCUUGCUCCUCUGAUUUAGCGGCGGACGGGUGAGUAACACGUGGGUAAUCUGCCUGUAAGACGGGGAUAACUCCGGGAAACCGGGGCUAAUACCGGAUAAUAAGAAGAAACGCAUGUUUCUUUUUUGAAAGUCGGUUUCGGCUGACACUUACAGAUGAGCCCGCGGCGCAUUAGCUAGUUGGUGAGGUAACGGCUCACCAAGGCGACGAUGCGUAGCCGACCUGAGAGGGUGAUCGGCCACACUGGGACUGAGACACGGCCCAGACUCCUACGGGAGGCAGCAGUAGGGAAUCUUCGGCAAUGGGCGAAAGCCUGACCGAGCAACGCCGCGUGAGCGAUGAAGGCCUUCGGGUCGUAAAGCUCUGUUGUUAGAGAAGAACAAGUACGAGAGUAACUGCUCGUACCUUGACGGUACCUAACCAGAAAGCCACGGCUAACUACGUGCCAGCAGCCGCGGUAAUACGUAGGUGGCAAGCGUUAUCCGGAAUUAUUGGGCGUAAAGCGCGCGCAGGCGGUCUCUUAAGUCUGAUGUGAAAGCCCACGGCUCAACCGUGGAGGGUCAUUGGAAACUGGGAGACUUGAGUGCAGGAGAGAAAAGUGGAAUUCCACGUGUAGCGGUGAAAUGCGUAGAGAUGUGGAGGAACACCAGUGGCGAAGGCGGCUUUUUGGCCUGUAACUGACGCUGAGGCGCGAAAGCGUGGGGAGCAAACAGGAUUAGAUACCCUGGUAGUCCACGCCGUAAACGAUGAGUGCUAGGUGUUGGGGGGUUCCACCCUCAGUGCUGAAGUUAACACAUUAAGCACUCCGCCUGGGGAGUACGACCGCAAGGUUGAAACUCAAAGGAAUUGACGGGGGGC